rnacentral:sRNA from 2 species
AUGAAUAUUUUGCCGAAUUUCUGUCUCAGAAAACGGGGGAUCCAUUUUGGGUGAAUUGAUCUCGCUUCAGAGUGAUCAUAGGGAACCUUCAACCGAACCCUUCAGCUAACCUCGUAGGCACUUGGAAGGGGAAAC